rnacentral:rRNA from 1 species
UUAGUGGCGAACGGGUGAGUAACACGUGGGCAAUCUGCCCUUCACUCUGGGACAAGCCCUGGAAACGGGGUCUAAUACCGGAUACGAGUUCGGGAGGCAUCUCCCGGACUGGAAAGCUCCGGCGGUGAAGGAUGAGCCCGCGGCCUAUCAGCUUGUUGGUGGGGUAAUGGCCUACCAAGGCGACGACGGGUAGCCGGCCUGAGAGGGCGACCGGCCACACUGGGACUGAGACACGGCCCAGACUCCUACGGGAGGCAGCAGUGGGGAAUAUUGCACAAUGGGCGAAAGCCUGAUGCAGCGACGCCGCGUGAGGGAUGACGGCCUUCGGGUUGUAAACCUCUUUCAGCAGGGAAGAAGCGAGAGUGACGGUACCUGCAGAAGAAGCGCCGGCUAACUACGUGCCAGCAGCCGCGGUAAUACGUAGGGCGCAAGCGUUGUCCGGAAUUAUUGGGCGUAAAGAGCUCGUAGGCGGCUUGUCAC